rnacentral:rRNA from 1 species
GCUUACCAUGCAAGUCGAGUGCGACUUUGUAGCAGGAAACUGGCGCACGGCGCUUCGGUGCGUAACGAAAGAGGUAACCUGCCCUUUGGUGGGGAAUAACUCCGCGAAAGCGGUUCCAAUUCCGCAUAAGAUCCGCAAGGAUGAAAGCAGCAAUGCGCCGAAGGAGGGGCCCGCGCCCGAUUAGCUAGUUGGUGAGGUAAUGGCUCACCAAGGCUUUGAUCGGUAGCUGGUCUGAGAGGAUGAUCAGCCACACUGGAACUGAGACACGGUCCAGACUCCUACGGGAGGCAGCAGUGGG